rnacentral:rRNA from 1 species
AUACGGAGGAUCCGAGCGUUAUCCGGAUUUAUUGGGUUUAAAGGGUGCGCAGGCGGCCAUUUAAGUCAGCGGUUAAAUCGUGGGGCUCAACCCCAUUCUGCCGUUGAUACUGGGAGGCUUGAUUGCGGUCGAGGUUGGCGGAAUUCGUUGUGUAGCGGUGGAAUGCAUAGAUAUGACGAAGAACACCGAUUGCGUAGGCAGCUGACCAGACCGCAAAUGACGCUCAUGCACGAAAGUGCGGGGAUCGAACAGGAUUAGAUACCCUGGUAGUCCGCACAGUAAACGAUGAAUACUUGUUUUCGGCGAUAUAAUGUCGGAGGCAAAGCGAAAGCGAUAAGUAUUCCACCUGGGGAGUACGCCGGCAACGGUGAAACUUAAAGGAAUUGACGGGG